AUGCGCUGUGCCAACCAGGACAGACCUGGACUGGACCACACCAAGCUCCCACUCCAUGCCCUGCUGUGCCACCCCCAGGCAUUGCCAUGUGGGGCUGUACCAUGCCAGGCAGACUGUGCCAGCUCCAGGCCAUCCUGUGUGUGCCAGAGCUGUUACGCUGGGCUGUGUCAAGCCAGAAAGGCUGUGCCAGGCCUGGGCUGUCCCAUGCUGUGCCGUGCAGGCCCCGUGCCAUGCUGUGCCGUGCUAUGCUGUGCCAUGAUGUGGCAGACUCUGCAGUGCUGGGAUGUGCUGAGCCAGGCAGACUGUACCAGCCCUUUGCCAGCCCUAGGAUGUGCUAUACUGUGCUAUGCCAUGCCAGAAUGUGCCAUACUGGGCUGCACUGAGCCAGGCAGACUGUGCCAAGCCCAGAAUGUUCCGUGCCCUGUCAGCCCCACACCUUGCCAUGCCACACCAGUCCUGUCCCAUACCAGCCCCAUGCUGUAUGCUGUGCCAGCCCCAUGUUGUGCCAGCCCUAUGCCAUUUCAGCCCCAUGCCAUGCCAGCCUCGUGCUGUUCCCAUGCUGUGCUGUGUCAUUCCAGCCCUGUGCCAUGUGGGUCUCAUGCCAUGCUGUGCCAUCACCAGGCCAUGCCAGCUCCACGCUGUGUCAUGCCUUCAUGCUGUGCCGUGCAAACCACACGCCGUGAUGUGUCAGCCCCAUGCCAUGCUAGACUCAUGCCAAGCUGUGCCAGCCCCAUGCCAUGCCAUGCCAUGCCAUGCCAUUUCUGUGCCAUGCCAGCCCCAUGCUGUGUUGUGUCAGCCCUGUGCCUUGCCAGCCCCAUGCCGUGCCGUGCUGUGCCGUGCCAGCCCCAUGCCAUGUCAGCCCCAUGCCGUGCCGUGCCGUGCCGUGCCGCGCCAGCCCCAUGCUAUGCCAGCCCCAUGCCAUGCCAUGCCAUGCCAUGCCAUGCCAUGCCAUUUCUGUGCUGUGCCAGCCCCGUGCCGUGCCAGCCCCAUGCUGUGCUGUGCUGCACUGUUCCAGCACUGUGCCAUGUGGGUCCCAUGCUAUGCCGUGCCAGCCCCAUGCUAUGCCAGCCCCGUGCCAUGCCAGCCCCAUGCUGUGUUGUGCCAGCCCUGUGCCGUGCCAGCCCCAUGCCGUGCCAGCCCCAUGCCGUGCCGUGCUGUGCCGUGCCAGCCCCAUGCCAUGUCAGCCCCAUGCCAUGUCAGCCCCGUGCCGUGCCGUGCUGUGCCGUGCUGUGCCGUGCCAGCCCCAUGCUCUGCCAGCCCCAUGCCAUGUCAGCCCCAUGCCAUGCCGUGCCGUGCCAGCCCCGGGCUCGGUGCUGA
rnacentral:lncRNA from 1 species